ACGGCCAUACCAUAUUGAAAACACCGGUUCUCAUCCGAUCACCGAAGUUAAGCAAUGUCGGGCCCGGUCAGUACUUGGGAGGGUGACAUGUAGAAAGCU